rnacentral:lncRNA from 1 species
UUCUGUAGUUACACUUUUAUUACUGUGAUAAAGAUGGCUUUAUUUUUAUGGAGGUGGACUUACGGAGUACACAAUACCCAUAAAGCACAGUGCUGUGGCAAUUUGCAGACGUGUUGAGAGCCACGUGCUCAGCUCCUGCAGCAGGUUCCUUCCAGCUGCCUUCUGAGCACAGCGGAGGGGCUCUGAGGUGGUACACAGCACUGUAGUGCUCAGCCCCUGCACAGCUGCAAACACACCAGGCUCCACCUCCGGGGCUGCCCGGCUGCCUCCUGCAUGCAUGGGAGGCCUCACACAGCCCUGGAGGUUUCAUCCAGAACGCUGCACCUACAGCACAGCCUCCCUGUCCCAGGAUGGGGAUCAGUUCUGCCCACUCACAAACUGAUUUUCUUCCUGUAACUCCACACGUACUGCAGCAGCAGCACAUUACUGUCCACAGGACUGCUGUGAUUCGCUGCCCCUCAGGGCAGGCAGCACAGCUGUGCAGGUUUUGUCUUGGAUCAUUUCAGGAGUUCACCUCACCGGAUUCCCCUGGGAAUGACAGCUGAAGUCACCAAAUAACGGCAGAACUGAAGCUGCUGUUUUAGAGAAUUCUAUCAAAUUAAAAAUUCUCUGAGAAAUAAUUCCUUCUGCUUUUAAUAGCGACUUCAGAGUUAAAACCCUUCUACAUUUAAUCAACCUGCUUAAAAUUCUUGCCCCCAGCAGGAAAGAGUCUCAAUCAGAGGGAGACAAACAUUCAUUAAGCCCUGUACAAUAAACCUGCUCUGCAGCCGAAGUGCUAUUAAUAUCAUUUUACAGAAAGAGGAAAUGGAAGAAUAGUGAGAUGGGAGUAACUUGCUUGGGGUCACAAGAAGGUUCACGAAGGCACGGUAGAGCAGUAAACCUUGAAUCAGAGCUGCUACAACCCGGAGCAGUGUGCCCUCCUUGCUGUGCUUUGCACACUGCCUGCCUAUUACCACUCAUUAUUAUCAAAAAAAAAAAGAAAAGGCAAUAAAGCUCAUAAGAAGUGAACACACUGAUCUAUCAGAGAUCUGAACUUUUGUGGGGUGAAACCCUAAAACGUGAUAAAAGUGACUCUUCUUAUUCUCAUUUCCCUAAUGGAAAUGCUUAAAAUGGUUACAAAGGGGUGCAGCCCUUCCCCACUGCCCACCAUCUCUCUUCCCCCGAUGACAUUUGCAUUUCAGUGCAGCAUGCCUUAUGCUUGGAAAGCAAAUACAUAUUUUACUUGUCAAAAUAAGAUAGGGAACAGAGUUGCUCAUACUAUAUUACACUGGCUGAACAGACGCUCAGAGGAACAAAGAGAAUCAGCAGUGCAAGACCUGGCACUGGUUUUCACGUCAGCUGCCUUACUAUGAUAUUAGAUCACUGCAGACGUAAAGUGGAGGGCUAAUUCACUGCUGUGUGCAGGGAUUUACACCUGUGGAUGUUACCAGAGCUGUGCCCUGGCCACGCAGCAGUUGAGGGACAAGGAGUAGUGCUGUGCUAGCUGUGUGCUGACUGCUGGAUGCUCACCCAGGCACAUUCCGUAGGAGCACCUCAGAGCAGAUAUGCGCUGCCGCUCCUGCACCAUGGCCUGUUCCCAGCCUCUGCUUACACCCAUCCUUACACUGUGCCAGCAGGAGUGCAGAAAUUGAAAAGCCAUCACGACUCUGUAUCCAGAGGGCCUGCAAUAUGGCCAGGACGGAAUGCAAGCAAAGGGCAAAAAAGACCCAAACACUGCAAUGCAUAACAGUGCUCCCACUGCGUGAGCACUCAGUGCAGCCCUGGGGGUGCCCCCGGCACACAGAGCUCUGCCCUCUCCUCCUGCACUUCCCCUUUGCAGGUUGGUUGUCCCUGCAGAAGGAAAUAGGAACUAAAAGGACUUUUAGUUGACUUAAUUAAUGCUUGUAACACUAGCCAAUUGACAUCAGCACCUUGUCUGUCACUCACUGUGGGAGGGGGAGAUGUGUUAAAAGUAACAGCCAAUUUCCGCUCCUCCAGCCGGAGCUUUGCUGCAAGGCAGCAGCAAAAAGCCAAGGCCAAGUCAGUUAGUGACAUCUUAAGGCUGCUCCCAGAACUGGCUAUGUUAUGUUUGCUGUAUUUGGUACAAAGUGAAGAACCAGAGCACUGCUGUUGCUCAGAGCAUUUGCAGGUGGGUGCUGCUGGGUCACAGCUGGCAGCCAGCAACAUUGCUGCCGUGCGGCUGCAGAGCUCGGAUCAGUUCAGAAUAAACAUCAGCAUUUAAUUUAACAGCCCUCCUACCCAUGAAUCUGAGAACAUUGAUCCAAAACUAAGCAAGCACAGGCAGAAGAACAGGGGUUUCACACAUGGGCCAUGGCAGCACAACGCUCCUCCACCAGCAUCGCAACCGGGCACCCAGCAGAGGUGUGCGAGUGGAGAAUGUUUGAGAGCUUUUAUGGUUGACAGACAAUGUUCUUUUAUUUAACUAACUGAGAUGGUACCUCAUAUCAAUUUACUGAGCAAACAGUGAGCUCCAGCAUCUGAUCCCAUUGACACAUUGGUAGAGUUUGCCAGUGGAGCCUCUCGGGACCUCUGGCACAGAAAGGACAAACCCUGGUGUCAGUACAACUACCGACAUGCCUUUUUAAUACAUAACUACUGCCAUUAUAUAUCAUCAGAGCCGAUAGAGUUCAGCAUAGAAGGGUAUUUUAAAGUGCCAAUAAAACCACUUAGCUUUUACAACGCGCUGCGUUUACUCCUCUGCCCCCUUCCUCCAAAAAAGGCUUUUCUUUUGAACUAAGCAAUUUAUAUGUUGGGUCAGUGUUAUAAAGUAGGAGUUUAUAGCAGAUUGCAGUGGAGUGGAAGCUGGAAUAAAGGCAGCUCGCUUUUAAAUGCAGCACGGAGGGAACUUUACAUUGAUAGGAUUAUCACCUGUUUGUGCACUGAGGAGAUGCGCUCACUGAAGGGCUGCAGAUCCCAUCUCUAUAACUGCCGCCCUAUUUAUUUGCUUCUCUAACCAAUCCCUCAUACUACAACUUUCCUUUGUCUUGGUUAGCAUCAGCGCUAUCUUUUUAAUUUAAUUAAUCUUUUUAAUUUAAUGUUUAAUUUAAUCUUUUCCUUUCCCAAACCCACAGUAUGAUCUUCACAAGGCCAGUGAUAAAAGCACCUCUGAGCUGGAUUAUCACUGUAAGACGGUCCUCUGCCUGCACCAUCACCUUUGAUCUGGAGCCACUUGGCAGAGCGCAGGACUGCAAGCAGCCAGGCUGCCUUUCACCUGCCCUGGCACCUGGCCCAGCCCUGCUGCACCUGCACACGCAGCACUGCAGCACUGCAGCACCGGGCGCUGUGGCCGCACGUCCCCAUGCAGCAGCGCAGAGCACAGCGGGCUGCUCUCAGCUCCCAUCCGCACACACGGGUUGGUGCUCCCUGCGCCCUCUGCUUCGCCCCGGCGGCCCCAACGCUUUGAACUCACCUCCCGAAUCCCAACGAAGCACAACCGGGAGCCGUUGACACUGUACUGAACUUUUGGGGCUGGCAUGGCAGUUAGCAACUUAUUAAUGCCGGACCUUUAGAGGAAAGUUCUCACUCACCAUCCAUUAUAAAGAGCUUUGUCAAACUGUAACCAUUUCGAUUUGACCACAAUUGCCCCUGGAGGAGUUGGUGAAAGUUAUACCAGCUGUACAUUUAUUUCACUGUUUUUCCUCCCUUUUUUCUGAUCAUCAGUCUGUCAAGGCUAUCGAGAUUUACAUUUAAAUGUAAAACCGGACUGUCCACCGAACGGCCUUUGAAGCUAUUAGCUGUGAAAGAUAAUCAAUCGGGAAUGGGCCCCCGCAGAGCACUUUUCAAGCAGAGUCAUCACCAAAAAGCAAUUUUGCUGGCAGGCU